CAAAAGCACAAUUUUGUUUUUGAGGGAGAAUGGUUGGGCAAAUGGGAGCAGCGGCCAGACAACCGUAGAGAUGUGUAUUCCACAGAUGACGGGCAUUUUUUCAUCCCGUUUAGUCUACUGAUUCCAUCUCACAUUU